rnacentral:rRNA from 1 species
AUUGAACGCUGGCGGCAGGCCUAACACAUGCAAGUCGAACGAGUGGCGGACGGGUGAGUAAUGUCUGGGAAACUGCCUUAUGGAGGGGGAUCACUUCUGGAAACGGUAGCUAAUACCACAUACCAUCAUAUGUGCCCAUAUGGGAUUAGCUUGUUGGUGGGGUACCGGCUCACCAAGGCGACGAUCCCUAGCUGGUGUGAGAAGAUGACCAGCCACACUGGAACUGAGACACGGGCCAGACUCCUACGGGAGGCAGCAGGGGGGAAUAUUGCACAAUGGGCGCAAGCCUGAUACAGCCAUGCCGCGUGUAUGAAGAAGGCCUUCGGGUUGUAAAGUACUGUCAGCGGGGAGGCGUUACCCGCAGAAGAAGCACCGGCUAACUCCGUGCCAGCAGCCGCGGUAAUAC